ACUCCUACGGGAGGCAGCAGUGGGGAAUAUUGCACAAUGGAGGAAACUCUGAUGCAGCAACGCCGCGUGGAGGAUGACACUUUUCGGAGCGUAAACUCCUUUAUAUAGGAAGAUAAUGACGGUACUAUAUGAAUAAGCACCGGCUAACUCCGUGCCAGCAGCCGCGGUAAUACGGAGGUGCAAGCGUUACUCGGAAUCACUGGGCGUAAAGAGCGUGUAGGCGGGUUAUUAAGUCAGAAGUGAAAUCCUAUGGCUCAACCAUAGAACUGCUUUUGAAACUGGUAACCUAGAGUAUGGGGAGAGGUAGAUGGAAUUUCUGGUGUAGGGUAAAAUCCGUAGAGAUCAGAAGGAAUACCGAUUGCGAAGGCGAUCUACUGGAACAUUACUGACGCUGAGACGCGAAAGCGUGGGAGCAAACAGGAUUAGAUACCCUGGUAGACUGUCA
rnacentral:rRNA from 1 species